UCUGGAGCAGGACGUCUUUUAGGUAAGAAGAGGUUCGUGAGUUAGUCCUGCUCUUGUGCGCCGUCUGUUUGAUGUAGUUUAAGAUAUUGGGAAGGCACCGGCGCCUUUGUGCGCCGUAUCCGUAGCGGGCAUCACUCCUGACAGUCCUAUAGCUCAGUUGGUCAGAGCGCCACACUGAUAAUGUGGAGGUCGGCAGUUCAAGUCUGCCUGGGACUACGGCGGGACCCCGCGUCGGUGACGCGUCCUCUUCGGGGGGAUUAGCUCAGCUGGCUAGAGCACCUGCUUUGCAAGCAGGGGGUCAACGGUUCGAAUCCGUUAUUCUCCACCCUUCCGGACACUUGUUCCGGAUCCGAUCUUUGACAUUCUGACACAAGCAAGACUGCAGUCUGCCCCUGACAGGGCAGGCUCAAUGAAGAAAACUGAAGUAUGAGCUCCCGCGGCACGUGUAUGUGCCGUGUGGACAAUCAGAGGCGAAAGUAAGAAAGGGCGCAUGGCGGAUGCCUUGGCUCACGGAGGCGAUGAAGGACGUGAUAAGCUGCGAUAAGCCGCGGGUAGGUGCAAAUGACCAUUGAUCCGCGGAUUUG
rnacentral:misc_RNA from 1 species